rnacentral:rRNA from 1 species
AGCAGCCGCGGUAAUUCCAGCUCCAAUAGCGUAUAUUAAAGUUGUUGCAGUUAAAAAAGCUCGUAGUUGAAUUUCGGGAUUAGUACGCUGGUCGUGCCUUCGGUACGUACUGGUGUUACUGAUUCCUACCUUCUGACGAACCAUCAUGUCAUUAAUUUGGUGUGGUGGGGAAUUAGGGACUGUUACUUUGAAAAAAAUUAGAGUGUUUAAAGCAGGCUAACGCCUGAAUACAUUAGCAUGGAAUAAUGAAAUAGGACGUUCGAUCCUAUUUUGUUGGUUUCUAGGAUUGACGUAAUGAUUAAUAGGGAUAGUUGGGGGGCAUUAGUAUUCAAUUGUCAGAGGUGAAAUUCUUGGAUUUAUUGAAGACUAACUACUGCGAAAGCAUUUGCCAAGGAUGUUUUCAUUAAUCAAGAACGAAAGUUAGGGGAUCGAAGACGAUCAGAUACC